GAAUUUAUCAUAGCAGUUCUAGAAAUGUUGAAAAUUAGAGAAAGACUGUUUAUUCUGAUUAAGAGUUUAUUUUUUAGGAUUGUUAUUUAGUCUAGAUCGGGUUUUGUUGACAAUACGCCAUUUUUUUUUCCGAUCUUCAAAGCCGGGUCUACCUUGGCGACCAACGUUUGUCGCCAAAUCAAAAAAUUGCCAAAAGGACCAAUACUAAAGCUGUUCCAAUAUGGCAAACAUGAGAAUUGACUGCAACUAUAUAAUUAAGGUUAAAAUGUUAACUUUUUGAACAGAGAAACCAUAAAAAAAAAAAAAAAAAAUUCCACAUUACAGAGGAAUCACAUACUUAUUUAAUUAUAAAGCCUAAUAAUAAUAAAAUUACAUAUGUUAAAGAGGCUGUUAGGAUUACAUAUUUAAAAGUACAUAGAGAAGGCUUAACACUGCUUAUAAUGCAACUUUUUUAUGAUUUUGAUACCUAAAUUACAAUUCACAUUUUGUUUCUUUCGUGGGUGGAGCACUUAAACAUAGACAUUAAAGUUUACUGAUAACCUUAAAAUUUUAACAUUUUUGCUACUUCAAAUAUUAAAAUAAUAAAGCAAUAAGCAUCAAUUAAGAUAAAUGUACAUGGAAUUCAACAUUCAAGGAACUAUAACAAAAUUCAUUCGCAAAACAGUAAUGCCUUAAAUAAUGAUAAAUUAAACCUCUGUAAAAAAAAUACUGAAUGACUCACUUAUGAGUGUUGGAAUUUUUAUCAAUACAAUAUUAACUUGAGAGAACUUUCAGAGGUGCAAUUAAUGCAAAGUAAGUUUAAAGUCUUGGAUAUACACCGAUUUAAUAUUAUAGAAGAAAUUAUAUAAAACAGACCCCAUUUUGUGCUUUUAAGAGUUUUAAAAUUACUUAAACUGUAAUUUAGUGCAUUGCAUUUCUCAUCUGAGCACGAAUUAAUUAAAAACAAUCAUAUUCUCAAGGUUUCAUUGUAAAUGAUUUUUGUUAGAUGAUACUUAUUUUUUAAUGAUGCAAGUGGUUAUUUCAAAAUGUUCUACACGUGGAAUAUUGUUAAACAAAAAACAAAACAAAAAAAAAAUUUCCGGCAAUUUCAUGAAAAAAAAUAUAUGUUUCAGUACACAAGUGUUCAACGUAAUCUCGAAAAACCUUCUGAAUUGGUACGGCAAAUAGGGCACUUCUUAUCGUAGUUCUGAUACACAUGAAUGCAUUUAACACACAGGCAAGCAUGUCCGCAGGGAUUAAAUCGUGUAUUUACUUGCCGAUCACAACAUAUCAGGCACUCCUCAGGUUUGUGAUCAGCUGCUGUGGCAUUGCUGUUUGAAGGCCUGUUUGAUCUCGAUGAUACAGGAACAGGAGUACGACCAGAGUCUUCUGUAAGCCAAAGUAAUAAAAGAAUUCCAGCAGCGAUACCAACACACAACACAGCAGGAUGAACCAUAAUGGGAAGUCUUUUAUUGUAGAAAAUAAAUUGCUACACCAUAUGAAAUGUAGUUAUUAAUAAUAGUGAUUGAUUCUGGUGCUAAAUACGUCAACAGAAUCUGAUUGUAACGUAUUUCAAGUUUCUUUGUUUCCAACCAAAAUACAGAGACUAUUAGCAGGAAAUCAUCAGAAGGGGUAAGAAGUAGGAGGAGUUACAUUUUUGGGGUUGUAGGAAGGUCUAUCAACAACUUUCUCGCCAAGAUGUUUGGCGUCAGCUCUCGGUUCGUGGCUAUGUUCUUCGGCUAAUUGGCUUUAACAACUUUAGUAUAUUAAAGAACCUUGAACUUUAACGUUGUCAAGUGGUUGAGUCAAAGAAAGUCUAUUCUUUGGACAUAUUCUUUGGUUGAGUUCUUCUCUGUACUGAGCAGCGAUGAUACCUCUGCAGUUAGUGGAAAGAUGUUCUGCUAAUUGAAACAAGAACUGUUUUCGUUGUAUUUGUAUUCCUGUCGCUUCUUUGGAAAGGAUCCAAGCAUUUAUAGCAGCCACAACUGCAACUUAUCAUGUAUAUGUCCAAAUUGACAAUUUAUGAUGAACUUGUAUGUUAUCAUGUGAUGGUAAUAAAAAAAAUAUAAACUGAUGUUCCAA